rnacentral:rRNA from 1 species
AGAGUUUGAUCCUGGCUCAGGAUGAACGCUAGCGGCAGGCUUAAUACAUGCAAGUUGAGGGGCAGCACGAGUAGCAAUACUUGGUGGCGACCGGCGCACGGGUGAGUAACGCGUAUGCAACCUACCUAUAACAGGGGAAUAGCUCCGAGAAAUCGGGAUUAAUACUCCGUAACAUUUAUUUGUGGCAUCACGAAUAAGUCAAAGUUCCGGCGGUUAUAGAUGGGCAUGCGUGACAUUAGCUAGUUGGUGAGGUAACGGCUCACCAAGGCUACGAUGUCUAGGGGUUCUGAGAGGAUACACCCCCACACUGGUACUGAGACACGGACCAGACUCCUACGGGAGGCAGCAGUAGGGAAUAUUGGGCAAUGGGCGCAAGCCUGACCCAGCCAUGCCGCGUGCAGGAUGACGGCCUUAUGGGUUGUAAACUGCUUUUGUGUAGGAUAAAUAUAUUGGAUUUAUUUCGAUAAUGAUAGUACUAUACGAAUAAGCAUCGGCUAACUCCGUGCCAGCAGCCGCGGUAAUACGGAGGAUGCGAGCGUUAUCCGGAUUUAUUGGGUUUAAAGGGUGCGUAGGCUGGUCAAUAAGUCAGUGGUGAAAUCCUACAGCUUAACUGUAGAACUGCCGUUGAUACUGUUGGUCUAGAAUUUAGUUGAAGUGGCUGGAAUGUGUUAUGUAGCGGUGAAAUGCAUAGAUAUAACACAGAACACCGAUAGCGAAGGCAUGUCACUAAGCUAAUAUUGACGCUGAAGCACGAAAGCGUGGGGAUCAAACAGGAUUAGAUACCCUGGUAGUCCACGCCGUAAACGAUGAUAACUAGCUGUUGGCGAUACACAGUCAGUGGCUAAGCGAAAGCGAUAAGUUAUCCACCUGGGGAGUACGACCGCAAGGUUGAAACUCAAAGGAAUUGACGGGGGCCCGCACAAGCGGAGGAGCAUGUGGUUUAAUUCGAUGAUACGCGAGGAACCUUACCUGGGCUCGAACGUGUAAUGAUUUAAUGAGAAAUUGUUAAUCCCUUCGGGGCAUUAUACGAGGUGCUGCAUGGUUGUCGUCAGCUCGUGCCGUGAGGUGUUAGGUUAAGUCCUGCAACGAGCGCAACCCCUAUCUUUAGUUGCCAGCACGUUAUGGUGGGGACUCUAGAGAAACUGCCGGCGCAAGCCGUGAGGAAGGUGGGGAUGACGUCAAAUCAGCACGGCCCUUAUGUCCAGGGCGACACACGUGCUACAAUGGUCAGUACAGAGGGUAGCUACUUGGUAACAAGAUGCCAAUCUCGAAAGCUGAUCUCAGUUCGGAUCGGAGUCUGCAACUCGACUCCGUGAAGUUGGAUUCGCUAGUAAUCGCGCAUCAGCCAUGGCGCGGUGAAUACGUUCCCGGGCCUUGUACACACCGCCCGUCAAGCCAUGGGAGUUAGGGGUGCCUGAAGUCGAUGACCGUCAAAGGAGUCGCCUAGGGUAAACCUGAUGACUGGGGCUAAGUCGUAACAAGGUAGCCGUACCGGAAGGUGUGGCUG